rnacentral:rRNA from 1 species
GACGAACGCUGGCGGCGUGCUUAACACAUGCAAGUCGAACGGAAAGGCCCUGCUUGCAGGGUACUCGAGUGGCGAACGGGUGAGUAACACGUGGGUGAUCUGCCCUGCACUUCGGGAUAACCUUGGGAAACUGGGUCUAAUACCGGAUAGGAGCCAUCUUUAGUGUGGUGGUUGGAAAGUUUUUUCGGUGUAGGAUGAGCUCGCGGCCUAUCAGCUUGUUGGUGGGGUAAUGGCCUACCAAGGCGGCGACGGGUAGCCGGCCUGAGAGGGUGUACGGCCACAUUGGGACUGAGAUACGGCCCAGACUCCUACGGGAGGCAGCAGUGGGGAAUAUUGCACAAUGGGCGCAAGCCUGAUGCAGCGACGCCGCGUGGGGGAUGAAGGCCUUCGGGUUGUAAACUCCUUUCGCUAGGGACGAAGCUUUUUUGUGACGGUACCUAGAUAAGAAGCACCGGCUAACUACGUG